ensembl:misc_RNA Y_RNA Y RNA
GACUGGUCCGAGUGCAGUGUUGUUUAUAGCUCAUUGAUCACAGCCAGUUACAGAUUUCUUUGUUUCUCCUCUACUCCCACCUGACUAACCUUAA